rnacentral:rRNA from 1 species
CCUACGGGAGGCAGCAGUGAGGAAUAUUGGUCAAUGGACGAGAGUCUGAACCAGCCAAGUAGCGUGAAGGAUGACUGCCCUAUGGGUUGUAAACUUCGUUUAUAUGGGAAUAAAAUGCUCCACGUGUGGGAUUUUGUAUGUACCAUAUGAAUAAGGAUCGGCUAACUCCGUGCCAGCAGCCGCGGUAAUACGGAGGAUCCGAGCGUUAUCCGGAUUUUUUGGGUUUAAAGGGGGCGUCGGUGGAUUGUUAAGUCGGUUGUGAAAGGUGGCGGCUCAACCGUAAAAUUGCAGUUGAAACUGGCAGUCUUGAGUACAGUAGAGGUGGGCGGAAUUCGUGGUGUAGCGGUGAAAUGCUUAGAUAUCACGAAGAACUCCGAUUGCGAAGGCAGUUCACUGGACUGCAACUGACACUGAGGCUCGAAAGUGUGGGUAUCAAACAGGAUUAGAUACCCUUGUAGUC